GGGCCCGUGAUCUAGUGGCUAUGAUGCCUCCCUUACAAGGAGGAUAUCCCAGGUUCGAGUCCUGGCGGGCCCA
rnacentral:tRNA from 1 species